GCAUAUCAAUAAGCGGAGGAAAAGAAACUAACUAGGAUUCCCUUAGUAACGGCGAGUGAACCGGGAUGAGCUCAAAUUUAAAAUCUGGCGUCUUUCAGGCGUCCGAGUUGUAAUCUAUAGAGGCGUUUUCCGCGCCGGACCGCGUCCAAGUCUCUUGGAAUAGAGUAUCAAAGAGGGUGACAAUCCCGUACUUGACGCGACAACCGGUGCUCUGUGAUACGUUCUCAAUGAGUCGAGUUGUUUGGGAAUGCAGCUCUAAAUGGGUGGUAAAUUCCAUCUAAGGCUAAAUAUUGGCGAGAGACCGAUAGCGAACAAGUACCGUGAGGGAAAGAUGAAAAGCACUUUGGAAAGAGAGUUAAACAGCACGUGAAAUUGUUAAAAGGGAAACGAUUGAAGUCAGUCGUGUGAAAGGUAUUCAGCCGUCUCUGGCGGUGUAUUUGCCUUUCACGGGUCAACAUCAGUUUGAUCCGGUAGAAAAAGGCAGGAGGAAGGUGGCACCCUCGGGUGUGUUAUAGCCUCUUGUCAUAUGUGCCGGACCAGACUGAGGAACGCAGCUUGCCGCAAGGCCGGGGUUCGCCCACGUACAAGCUUAGGAUGUUGACAUAAUGGCU
rnacentral:rRNA from 1 species